rnacentral:rRNA from 1 species
AUGGCCAUUGGUGUCGAUCGGGGACGGCAACCUCCGGCGCCAACCAACGACGACGAUGCUGCCACAGAGGCGGACUUCGUCUGUGUGCUGCGCAGGUGUGUGGUACUCCUGGCCCACUUCACGGCCACUGGUGUAUGUUUCGGUAUGCUGGCUGACCCCAGGAAAGACGGCAUGAGGGACGUCGUCCGCACGGCGCGCGGCAUGGUGCUCGUCUGCUGCAACGCCACCGCCCUUGUGGUCUCUGGGUUCAUUCUCCUACGGUUCGAGAGCAAGGUAUUAGGCACCCGGGGGAUGAGAUACUCUCACUUGCAGUUCAUCAUCAUCCUAGACGUGCUUGGUCUGAUUGGCGCCUAUAGCGCCGCGAGCGUGAAGACAGCUAUCUUCCUCGCCAGUUUGAUAGUGGUGGUACUGCUCUACGUUGCCAUUCAGGUCCUGCUGUUCCAGUCCAAGCCUGUAGGAAGGCUGCUCCCCCACGCCCAAGAAACACUGCCACGGAAGUGCCUGAAAUUCCAGAUGCGAGUUCGCUGGCAGCAAACUAUGGUAGUAUCAACACAAGACAAAGUCGAAGACGCUGCCACUGUCAAGGUUCUGGUUCUAUCCCUAACUUUUGCCACGAGUAUGGCAUACAAAGUUAGAGUUGGUCCGACGCCCUUGGCAGCCUCAGGUGACCCGGACACCGGUAUCACACUUCCUGAGGUGACGGAGUUGGUGUACUUCCAUUGCAACGACACCGCCUCCGUCGCGUCGCUGGUGUUCAUUCACCUCUACCUCGCGAGCAGGUCUUUCAGCAAGCAGAGAAUCUUGUACCGUGCACUGCAGGUCGCCAUAACCCUGGACCUGUUUGCCUUUGUUGUCGCCUCAGCUAACAGGAACUGCCUACAAUUGCCGACAUUUGUGUACAUCUCUGUACUUGCUCCGGUGUCCCUAUAUGCCUGCAUCAUGGCUAUGGUUUCCAUGUCAGAUAUGUUCUUGACUUGCACCAUCUGGCGGAGAGUGUUGAGGGAGAAGAUGGGACAGUACUGUGUACCCAAUUGGCUCACCAAGUCAUUUGAGCUGCCAAGCAAUGGACACACAGAGGACACCCGCCAGACAAUGGGAUGGAAUUUGGAGGACAUGCGCCCGUUGGUGUUGUUUACUGCAAUUGGGAUGGCUAAUGCCAUCAAAAUCCAUGCCUUACAGGUAGAGAGCAGACCCGGACAUGUUCUGGACAACUGGGCAUUCCACUUGAAUGACUUCACGGACAAAGCCGGAGCGAGUUCCCAUUCCAGCUUAUGGCAAGAGAACACAUCAGGCUAUGUUAUAGGCAACCUGAACAUGGCUUUCUACUGCUAUGCAACAGCCUUUACUGGGUUCCUGGCUAUCAUCGUGCUGCUGGCUAACAGCAAGAUCUGGUCAAGAGGAUUACAGUACUACGCCCUGGGGCUGGGCAUUGUUCUUGAGCUGCUCUGCUUUGUGGGCGUCUUGGCCAACGGGAACCUCCCAAAGAAAUCGAUGGUGAAUGUGUUUAGAGACGCCUCGAUCCUUCUACUCACCAUGAUUAUAUUAUCAAGAGGUCCCAUGCAGAGAGUCCAAUCCAUCCUCAAAUGGUUCCAGCAUACUUUUCCAGAGGAUCCCUUGCAGGAGUGGGGUUCAAAGGACGAGCUGGAGUUCGGUCUACCAGAUGGUGGCACGAACGGCGACCGUACCCCGUGGCAGUGGAGAUUUCCGCGCCGGUUCUUGGGGGGGCACUCACCCUCGUCUUGGCCAUACCGGUGA